AAUAAAUCAGUGAAGAGGAUUAGUAAUAUUGUUUAUUAGGUACAGAGAGUCAGUGGUUGGUGAGAACUGAAGUAAUGACAAUAUGAAUCGCCCUCUGAGUGAAAUGCGAAAAAUAAAGUAAACAUUUCCGGUUCAAUCCGUUAUCGUAUAAAGUUGAGGUUACUAAUAUAUUAAUAAUCUAACUAGGGUGGCAACGCGGGUAAACUCGUCCCUUAU
rnacentral:ncRNA from 1 species